rnacentral:lncRNA from 1 species
GACCCCUCUACCUUGAUCAUAUCCUCAAAAGUCUCAUUGAGUCCCUUCAUCACAGACCUCUCCAUUUGGAUCAUGUCCUCAAACUGCUUCCUAAGCUCCCUUUCCAUCAGUUUUUCUAGUUCAACUAGGUAUGCGAGAGAGAUUGGGUUUUCUGUAGCAAUUAGGAUUUCAAUCUUGAGCUGUGCAACCUUCUCAGCAACCUCUUUUACUUUUUCCACCACUUUUUCUAUCUCCUCGAUUGCUUCUUCCUUAGCAGUCCUUGACUAAUCUUCAGCUUCUCGAACCUUCUCCUCCA